GCCGUUGACAUUUUGGAUUUGUAUGAUGCAUCCACAAUUAGAUUUGAGUUUUCAUUUCUUAGGUUCAGGGUGUGAAUAUA
rnacentral:pre_miRNA from 1 species